rnacentral:lncRNA from 1 species
CCUAAACUUAAAACAAUUUUUAAAAAAUGGGACUUCAAUCCAACUCCCGCCAUCAACACCUAAUCUGAAAUAAGCAGUAAAACAUGUAAGGUUGGUCAUCUCUGCCUAUACUGUUACAACUAUAUAUAAAACAUAUAAUAUCCCUAGGAACACUGUAAUUUCUAAUCUUGAAGGGCGCAACCAACCAACCACUGGUGACUUGCCUUCCUUAC